rnacentral:rRNA from 1 species
GAAUUCGCCCUUCCUACGGGAGGCAGCAGUGGGGAAUAUUGCGCAAUGGACGAAAGUCUGACGCAGCGACGCCGCGUGUGGGAUGACGGCCUUCGGGUUGUAAACCUCUUUCACUACCGACGAAGUUCACACGUUGUGUGGGUGACGGUAGGUGGGGAAGAAGCACCGGCCAACUACGUGCCAGCAGCCGCGGUAAUAAGGGCGAAUUCGGA